rnacentral:rRNA from 1 species
AGUGAACGCUGGCGGUAGGCCUAACACAUGCAAGUCGAACGGCAGCACAGUAAGAGCUUGCUCUUACGGGUGGCGAGUGGCGGACGGGUGAGGAAUACAUCGGAAUCUACUUUUUCGUGGGGGAUAACGUAGGGAAACUUACGCUAAUACCGCAUACGACCUACGGGUGAAAGCAGGGGAUCUUCGGACCUUGCGCGAUUGAAUGAGCCGAUGUCGGAUUAGCUAGUUGGCGGGGUAAAGGCCCACCAAGGCGACGAUCCGUAGCUGGUCUGAGAGGCUGAUCGGCCACACUGGAACUGAGACACGGUCAAGACUCCUACGGGAGGCAGCAGUGGGGAAUAUUGGACAAUGGGCGCAAGCCUGAUCCAGCCAUACCGCGUGGGUGAAGAAGGCCUUCGGGUUGUAAAGCCCUUUUGUUGGGAAAGAAAAGCAGCAGGUUAAUACCCCGCUGUUCUGACGGUACCCAAAGAAUAAGCACCGGCUAACUUCGUG